GCCCGCCAUUGAAGCAAAUGCAGGAAAGCGUUGAGAUGUCACGUGACUGUUCCCGGAUAUGGCAGCAUGUCAGGUCUAAGUUGGAUGUCAAAGUUGACCAACUUGUGUGUUUAUGUCCACAACCUUCUACUAUCCAGUAUUCUGGACAUCUUUUGCAAUUUGUUUAAUGAACAAUGAAGGCUGCAAAGAAGACAGUUGUAGGUGGGAUCGGUGUAUUAGCAGCGGACUACAGCAACACAACCAGGAGGACUUUGUUGGAGAGCAGACGCGCUAGCCGCCGACCUCACCUUGACUUCCUACGUCUCCGGGCUGCCAAACGCAUCGGGUGAAGUCCUUCGUCCUUCUGCCGAUCGCUGGAACGCAGUCGUCCAUGACGUUCUACUCGUAAAUGAUUCUCCAUUCGUCACUCCAAGAAACCGCCGAGCCAGAAGUAGAAGUGCCGUUCGGUCUUCUAGCCAUCCAUAGCGGAUCUACUCGUAAAUGAUUCUUCAUUCGUCACUCCAAGCAACGUGUUCAUCCAUAACGAUUCUACGUGUGAUGAUUCUUCAUUCGUCACUCCAAGCGACGUGUUCAUCCAUAACGAUUCUACUUGUGAUGAUUCUUCAUUCAUGACUCCAAGCAACGUGUCCUCAUCUGGUUGACCCCGCUGAGGAUGCUGGGGGGCAGCUGGCCGCCCGCCUUCACUGGUGCACUCUGGGAGAUCCUCUGCUGGUUCAGGGCUGCAGACCAGGACACACACAGACCACAUGAACCAGGUUCCUGCAAGACCUGAUCACCUCCCACACAAAGACCUGAUCACCUCCCACACAAAGACCUGAUCACCUCCCACACAAAGACCUGAUCACCUCCCACACACACGUUGCUGAUCUUUCAUUGUGACUUUUGUUCCCGCCUAAACACGUCAUGUGAUCUCCCUCCCCCAGGACACUUGAUUAGGCACACAUGACUAUGAUAUCAAACAUCACGAUAGAGAUCAGGAGUCAAAAACUCAUCACUUUUCAACUGGAUCGCAAGUUGUAUUUGUAACCAUUCCUUGUC